rnacentral:rRNA from 1 species
CUACCAGGGUUUCUAAUCCUGUUUGCUCCCCACGCUUUCGAGUCUCAGCGUCAGUGUUCGUCCAGUUGGCCGCCUUCGCCACCGGUGUUCCUCUCGAUAUCUACGAAUUUCACCUCUACACCGAGAAUUCCACCAACCUCUCCGACACUCUAGCCUCCCAGUUUCGAAUGCACUUCCCGGGUUGAGCCCGGGGCUUUCACAUCCGACUUAGGAAACCGCCUACACUCGCUUUACGCCCAGUAAUUCCGAACAACGUUUGCACCCUCUGUCUUACCGCGGCUGCUGGCAC